rnacentral:rRNA from 1 species
GAUGAACGCUGGCGGCGUGCCUAACACAUGCAAGUCGAGCGAAAGCACGAGAAACCUGCCUCUCUGGUGUUAGCGGGGGACGGGUGUGUAACAUACGGAUAACCCAGCUCAAUGACUGGGAUUAAUGCGGGAAACCGUAGCCUAUAACGGCUAAUAACCUGAACCGCAUGGUGCAGAAGUGCAAGACGGUCUUGCUGUCACUUAUACAUGGAUCCGCGUUGCAUUAGCUAGUUGGAAAGGUAACGGCUUACCAAGGCAACGAUGCAUAGCUGACCUGAGAGGAUGAUCAGCCACACUGGAACUGAGACACGGUCCAGACUCCUACGGGAGGCAGCAGUAGGGAAUAUUCGGCAAUGGGCGAAAGCCUGACGGAGCAAUACCGCGUGAGUGAUGAAGGUCUUCGGAUCGUAAAGCUCUGUUGUUAGGAAAGAACAUAUGUGGGAUUAUCUGUGCACAGCUUGACGGUACCUAAACAGAAAGCCCCGGCUAACUACGUG